rnacentral:rRNA from 1 species
GGUGAGUACAGUGGCGUACGGGUGAGUAACACGUGGAUGAUCUACCUCUUAGUUCGGAAUAACCCUGGGAAACCGGGGCUAAUACCGGAUAAGCUCGAGAGAGGAAAGUCGCAAGACGCUGAGAGAGGAGUCCGCGGCCGAUUAGCUAGUUGGCAGGGUAAAAGCCUACCAAGGCGAAGAUCGGUAGCCGGCCUGAGAGGGCACACGGCCACACUGGCACUGAAACACGGGCCAGACUCCUACGGGAGGCAGCAGUGGGGAAUCUUGCACAAUGGGGGAAACCCUGAUGCAGCGACGCCGCGUGAGCGAUGAAGCCCUUCGGGGUGUAAAGCUCUUUCGGCAGGGAAGAUGAUGACGGUACCUGCAGAAGCAGCUGCGGCUAACUACGUGCCAGCAGCCGCGGUAAUACGUAGGCAGCAAGCGUUGUUCGGAGUUACUGGGCGUAAAGGGUGUGUAGGCGGCUUUUUAAGUUUGGUGUGAAAUCUCCCGGCUCAACUGGGAGGGUGCGCCGAAUACUGAGAGGCUCGAGUGCGGGAGAGGAGAGUGGAAUUCCUGGUGUAGCGGUGAAAUGCGUAGAUAUCAGGAGGAACACCGGUGGGUGUAGACGGCUCUCUGGACCGUAACUGACGCUGGGACACGAAAGCGUGGGUAGCAAACAGGAUUAGAUACCCUGGUAGUCCACGCCCUAAACGAUGCACAUUUGGGUGUGGGCAGUUCAUUCUGUCCGUGCCGGAGCUAACGCGUUAAAUGUGCCGCCUGGGGAGUACAGUC